UCCGAGUUGACCCCGGCAGUCUCCCACGAGUCCCCGGCAUAACCCGCUGGCAACAUGGGACAAGGGUUGCGCUCGUUGCGGGACUUAACCCAACAUCUCACGACACGAGCUGACGACAACCAUGCACCACCUGUCACCGUUGCCCCCGAAGGGGAAACUAUGUCUCCGUAGAGCGCCGGCUUUCACCGGCUUUACCCCGCAUGUCAAGCCCAGGUAAGGUUCUUCGCGUCGCGUCGAAUUAAGCCACAUGCUCCGCCGCUUGUGCGGGCCCCCGUCAAUUCCUUUGAGUUUUAAUCUUGCGACCGUACUCCCCAGGCGGUCUACUUCACGCGUUAGCUGCGUUACCAAGUCAAUUAAGACCCGACAACUAGUAGACAUCGUUUAGGGCGUGGACUAC
rnacentral:misc_RNA from 1 species